rnacentral:ncRNA from 1 species
CCUAUGACAUUGUAACUCCGUAUCAAGGGAAACCGGUGAGAAUCCGGUACGGUCCCGCCACUGUGAACGGUUACGAAAUCCACAAGGUGCCACUGGGAAACCGGGAAGGCGUGGAGAUUAGGUUGAGCCGUGAGUCAGGAGACCUGAGCAGAGUUGAGAUAUCACC